rnacentral:rRNA from 1 species
GGUACGACUCUCGGCAAUGGAUAUCUGGUCCCUCACAUCGAUGAAGAACAUAGCAAAAUGCAAUACAUGGUGUGAAUUGCAGAAUCCCGUGAACCAUUGAGUCUUCGAAUGCAAGUUGUGCCCGAGGCCAUCGAGCCGAGGGCACGCCUGCCUGGGCAUCACGG